rnacentral:rRNA from 1 species
GUCGAGAGCUUUCGGAGCUCGGCAUACUGCUCAGUAACACGUGGGUAACCUGCCCUAUGCUGGGGGAUAACCUCGGGAAACUGAGAACAAUACCCCAUAGUCCACUACGCCUGGAACGGUGAGUGGAUGAAAGCCCCGGCGGCAUAGGAUGGGCCUGCGGCAUAUCAGGUUGUAGGGGGUGUAAUGUACCCUCUAGCCCUCGACGCGUACGGGUUGUGAGAGCAAUAGCCCGGAGAUGGAUUCUGAGACGAGAAUCCAGGUCCUACGGGACGCAGCAGUCGCGAAACCUUGACAAUGCGGGAAACCGUGAUCAGGGGACUCCAAGUGCCAGGGGUAAGAUCCUGUGCUUUUCAUCUCUCUUCAAAGGAUUUGGAAUAAGAGGUGGGUAAGGACGGUGCCAGCCGCCGCGGUAAUACCGGCGCCUCAAGUGGUAGUCGAUUUUAUUGGGCCUAAAACGUCCGUCGCCGGUCUGGUGCAUUCGUGGGUAAAUCAACCCGCUUAACGGGUUGAAUUCUGCGAGCACGGCCAGACUAGGGACCGGGAGAGGUGUAGGGUACGCUCGGGGUAGGGGUAAAAUCCUGUCAUCCCGAGCGGACCACCUGUUGCGAAGGCGCUACACUAGAACGGAUCCGACGGUCAGGGACGAAGCCUAGGGGCACGAACCGGAUUAGAUACCCGGGUAGUCCUAGG